rnacentral:tRNA from 1 species
UAUAAUGUAGUGUAUGGUGCACACAGGUCUUUGAAUCCUGUAGAUAAAGUUCAACUCUUCUUAUUAUAA